rnacentral:tRNA from 1 species
GAGGCAAUAGCUCAAUGGUAAAGCACAUGCUUAACAUGCAUGAGGUCCUAGGUUCAAUCCCCAGUACCUCCA